AGAGAGCAGAAGAGAGCUGGAAGAUCUUAAUCUUGCACUCCACUGAGUGCAAGAGCUAGCAAUCCCCAGGAGCAAGAAAUCCAGCAAGGAAGGCAAGAAACUGGCAUCGCUGAGUAGGGAACUGCUGGUCAAACUAAAGGAAAAGAAGCAAAUGCACAGGCAAAUGCACAGGCAGUGGAAACAAGGACAGGAAUAUCUGUUUUGGAGCUAAGAUGGGCAACAACCAGUGAAUCAGCUUUUUAGAGACUGUCAAGGGUCUACCUCCUGCUUAGAAAAGCAUUAUUAGAUCACCUAAGAAGAUAAAAAAUUGAAAUAUUAUAACAAGCAAGCAGUCGGUGUGGUGCUGGCAGCAAAUCUCAAAACAUUGACUUUCACAGAUCGAGGGUAAUUGAACCUUCCUUCAAACAGACUUCUUAUGAAAACUUCCUCUUAUCUGCAAACUUCAGGUAUUCAAAUUCCAUGAAACUCAGUUUGGAAUAAUUUCCACAGUUUAAAUAUUAUAAUUAAAAAGAAGGUAUGAACUUGGGAA